rnacentral:rRNA from 1 species
AUUGAACGCUGGCGGCAUGCUUUACACAUGCAAGUCGAACGGUAACGGGGGAAGCUUGCUUCCUGCCGACGAGUGGCGGACGGGUGAGUAAUGCAUCGGAACGUGCCCAUGUUGUGGGGGAUAGCUCGGCGAAAGCCGGAUUAAUACCGCAUACGCCCUGAGGGGGAAAGUGGGGGAUCUUAGGACCUCACGCAAUUGGAGCGGCCGAUGUCGGAUUAGCUUGUUGGUGGGGUAAAGGCCUACCAAGGCGACGAUCCGUAGCUGGUCUGAGAGGAUGAUCAGCCACACUGGGACUGAGACACGGUCCAGACUCCUACGGGAGGCAGCAGUGGGGAAUAUUGCGCAAUGGGCGAAAGCCUGACGCAGCCACGCCGCGUGUGCGAUGAAGGUCUUCGGAUCGUAAAGCACUGUGGAGGGAGAAGAAUAAAGCCGGUGAAGAGCCGGCCUGACGGUAUCCCUUUAGCAAGCACCGGCUAACUCCGUGCCAG